GUGGGGAAUAUUGCACAAUGGAGGAAACUCUGAUGCAGCGACGCCGCGUGAGGGAAGAAGGUUUUCGGAUUGUAAACCUCUGUCUUCGGUGACGAAAAUGACGGUAGCCGAGGAGGAAGCCACGGCUAACUACGUGCCAGCAGCCGCGGUAAUACGUAGGUGGCAAGCGUUGUCCGGAAUUACUGGGUGUAAAGGGAGCGUAGGCGGGAAGGCAAGUUGAUUGUCUAAACUAUGGGCUCAACCCAUAGUCGCGAUCAAAACUACUUUUCUUGAGUGAAGUAGAGGUAAGCGGAAUUCCUAGUGUAGCGGUGAAAUGCGUAAAUAUUAGGAGGAACACCAGUGGCGAAGGCGGCUUACUGGGCUUUAACUGACGCUGAGGCUCGAAAGCGUGGGUAGCAAACAGGAUUAGAAACCCUAGUAGUCC
rnacentral:rRNA from 1 species